GACGAACGCUGGCGGCGUGCUUAACACAUGCAAGUCGAACGAUGAAGCCCAGCUUGCUGGGUGGAUUAGUGGCGAACGGGUGAGUAACACGUGGGCAACCUGCCCCAAACUCUGGGAUAACUCCUCGAAAGAGGUGCUAAUACCGGAUACGAACUAGGUAGACAUCUGCACUAGUUGGAAAGUUUUUCGGUUUGGGAUGGGCCCGCGGCCUAUCAGCUUGUUGGUGAGGUAACGGCUCACCAAGGCUACGACGGGUAACCGGCCUGAGAGGGCGACCGGUCACACUGGGACUGAGACACGGCCCAGACUCCUACGGGAGGCAGCAGUGGGGAAUAUUGCACAAUGGGCGAAAGCCUGACGCAGCGACGCCGCGUGAGGGAUGAAGGUCUUCGGAUCGUAAACCUCUUUCAGUAGGGACGAAGCGAAAGUGACGGUACCUAAAGAAGAAGCACCGGCUAACUACGUGCCAGCCGCCGCCGUAA
rnacentral:rRNA from 1 species